GGCGUCCGCACAGCAGCGUGAUGAGCGAUGGACACAGGACACAGAACACAGGCUACGGAACACAGCGCCGCGGGUGCGCUGGACCCCGGUAGAACCUUGCUGGGACACGCUGGUGCUGGGGUACCUCGUGCAGGUGACCUAGCACUGGAGCAGAUUGCCCCCAGCGUUUGUGUAGUCUCCCUCACUGGAUGUGUCCAAGAACCAUCGCAACCAAGAUGCGAUCCUGUGCCGUGUGCUGUAGGCUGGGCCUGGAGCUCGGUGUGGUUCCGGGCAGCCACAGCGGGCGGUGUGCGGCUGCCCCCACAGCUUCGGCCCUCUGGAACUGCGGGUGCCCGAGGCAUCCAGCGCCCGCCUGUGAGCAAGCCAGGUGUUUUUCCAGCUAGAAUGGGUGGGGUAUGGAGAAAUGGGAGUAGGUGUGGACACCUUUUUUGCCGAGAUUUCCAUGUGGCCCUGUGUUAAGCUCUGCCCCUGUAGGAUGGGGUGGCCCAGAGGCCAUCACGCUGCCCUGUGUCUUGGCUUUUCCUGCUCGUUCCCAGCAACGCUCCAUCCUCCAUCCGCCCUGUUCAAGCCUGGUCAUUCCAUGCAAGUCUUCCCUGCCCUGCUGUGUUCAGACGCUGACCCUGUGUGUCCUCUGGGGGUGUUUUGUGUGUGUCUGCUGUGUGACCGGCCCUUGGACCAGCUCCUCAGCGCUGGCCUGGGUCGUUUGCGCGGGGAACAAGGCUGGAGGAAAGGACCGAGGUGUCACAUGAAAAGUGACAGCAGGCAGCAAGCGGGGCUGGGGCACAAGAGGGAGAUGAGUGAUACGGGCUGUGUAACCUGCUGCUCUGUGAGUGAAACUUGAUAAAAGCCAGGCAGCAGAGCCCCCAGUGAGGCCCCUGGGACAGCAACCUUCCCUUCCCGCCCUCCUCCCCUACCCACACACACUUAGGAAGUUUCCCAUGUGCCUUCUGCCUUGGCUUUCAGGUGAAACACUUGCACAUAAACUGUUCCUUUCCAGCCUCAUGACAGGCCAUUGGCAUCUUAGGAAGCUUUAGGUCAAGGCUAAAAUUAAUAAUGGAAGAAACAGUUGCAGACAUGGCUGUGUGAAAGUAACCAAACAACAGCAAAAUGUCACCUGAGCCAGGCAGCAUUGCCCAUACCUUGCAAGGACCUGUGCAGAGAGGACAGUGUGAAAGGGAACAACAUAACUAUGACUUUGCAAGAAGGAGAGGAGAAAUGGGAGAAAGAAUGGAGAUGGUAUAUGAGGGUGUGUUUGAGUGUGCAGAAAUCAUCUAAGUAGGCCCCAAAGUUGUAACAAAAUUAUUUGUUACACAAGUGUUUUGAUUCCAAAGCAUAUGUGAGAACAAAAUAUAAAAACAAAGAAGUUCUCUUUGCUUUUCCCCUCCUAAUUUAUAGAUAGAUAUGGAUAAAUGCAGACAAUUUAAAUCUGAGUCUAACCUUCUGGUCUGCAUGACUUUAAGCACGAGUGGUUGGCUGUACCUUGCAUUACUGGUGGCUUUCUGGUAGUACAGGGAGUACAGGCAGGUAAGCACCUGGCAGAGAGCAAGCCGAAGCUGUUCUUUUGUUGUUUCUGUGAGAACAAGUGCUCACACAAAGCAAACGAGCAGUGCACACAGUGGGGUGUCCAGCCUGCAUCCUACUGCUGUCCCCUCUUCCCACGUGCAUCUGCCUGGGCUGUGCAGCCUGCCUGGAACCCACAGCUGUUUCACUCCUGAAUGAGGCAAAGGGGGUUUUGUUUCCUUGCUAUUUUCUUGAGCAGAUGGUUGCCAUAGUCAGCCCGAGUGUAUUUUUCCUAGUUUCUCUGCUCAACAGCAAUUCUUAAUUCUCUGUUCUAUCAUGAAAUACCAUGAACCAGUCAUUACACCUUGCCAAGAAAAAGAGGCAGUUUGGAAGGCCUAUGUUGUUCAGUGUUCCUGUGCUGAGGAACUUUGGCUGAUAAAGCAGCAGGACCAAAAAAUUACUCUUUUUCCGAAAAGGUAAAAUUGUUUUGUUAACACAAGUCAAAAUAGCUGGUACAAAGUAUCAUUAUGCCUUUAGAUCACAAACAUACCACAUCUGAAGAUAUUUUCUGUUUUUAUGAUCAGAGUGUUAUGAAUUUGCAAGCCUCGGUUUCACAGUUCAAGGGAUGAUGUGGUUUGCUUACAAGUUUCAUUGGUUCUUGACCUUACUGGUUUGCAUGUAUCUGCAUCUAAAUUCAAAGCUAACUAGAAAAACUGCUAAGUAAUGUUGUCUUCCUGAAAAAUGUGUGAAUUCAGCCAACUUACUGAAUUGACGCAGUUGGUGACAUAAUUUAAUGUACAGAGAGCAGUGUCUGUACCCUUCAGUCUUGCAGCUCUAACAGCUGUCAACAUGUAAGCACUUACUCCACAAAAAUAACAGUUCUGUGAUUGCUCUGGUCAUAUGUAGGGUUCUAAUGUCCUGCAUCCCUCCCCAAAUGGGGGAAUUUGAAUGAAAUGCAAAUGGGAUAUUUGAAUGAACACUGCUGAAAGGUUAAGGUCAGGGGUUAUAAGGAAUGUUAAACAAAUGGGUCUUACAGAGACCUACUGGGAGCAUGGUAGAAAACAAAAUGUAGAGCUGCUUUUGGGACUUGCCUAUUCCACUUGCUGAGACCCCACCUGAAUCCUGCUGUAUGGUACAAAUAUCUCACCUGACACAAAGCAGCAGCUUCCCUCUGAAGGGAAGGGAGCUUAACAGUGGGCAACAAAUGCCCUUCGUAGCUUUUAAAAAAAUCCUGUACUCCUGAAAAUGCAACUAUGAACAUCUUCCAACAAGCCUGCAUUGCUGACAGUGACAGGUAGUGGUGAUCCAAAACAAGGAACAAGGAAGCAAAAGCUGGAAAAGGUAUCCUCUUUCUUAUGCCUCAGUUCAGGAAACGGAUCUCUUCUAAUUUAUCUGCAGAUCAGCCUAAAUCACAGGCCACAUGGUGGCUUCAUCCAGCUUCAUGGUAAUUGUUUCUGCUGUGACUCAGACCUUUCCAGAUCCAGUCAUCACUUCUCUAGUGACACAAAAUAACCUCACUCAUAGGUCUUUGAUGUAGAAAUCUGAGGCAUACAAAAACCAGCUCCAGAUGAGCUAUUCCCCAGUGUGCUUGGCAGGCACCUUGUAGUAGCCAAGUGUGUGUGUGAUUCACAGAACACUGUGAGCUAUUGCAAAGCUUUGGAGGGAUAGGUAAGCGCCUUUAUUGGCUCACUGUGGCCAAAACAACACAUAUACAGAGAAGUACCAAACAGUCUUGUGAGCUCAUCUCUGUGUGCCGUCACACACUCAGGUCAGGUAGUGCAGACUCUUGCUCAGCUGAUACACCAUUGGAUACCCUGCCAAAUCUCUGAACCCAGCUAACAAUAAUCCAGCUGACAGCUGAUGCUGAUCCUUACCAAGUUACAGUAUAAGACAGACAAAGUAAAAGAUAGGUUACUGCUGGCUUUCUGCUUUGCUUGCAGGUGACCCAUAGCAUCAAGGGUGUACAAUACCUUGUAAUCGUUGCUUUGCAUGGCUUCCCCAUGAACAAACACAGCAAUUGUUUUGGGAUUUUAAGUCAUCCUCGGUACAAGGAGAUGUGGUAUAUCCAAAUCUGUAAGACAGGAACAUUUGAGAUAAUCUUGCUACUCCCUUGGCACUGAAACAAGUUAAAAUCUGGAGACCUUUCUGUCCUGAAACUGUGAUCUCAGAUCCAGUCAGACUGCAGUGACAGAUUAGAGGAGAUUAAUAUCUUGUCCUGUCAGGAGAUAGACAGGAGAUAAAACUUUCAAGGUUUCACACUACCACAUUUCCUCUUGAAAGAGGCUACUGGUAUCAUUUACAUCAUUCAAUACCACUCUGAGAAGGUACCCCUUAAGUUAAUUUAGUUAAUAUACCUUAGGACAAGAAACACAAUAUGAAAUUAUUGCCAUCAGCCCAUAAAUCAGUUAGAGCAAAUUACAGCAGUGGUUCUCCCCUGAGUAAGAGAUGUACUAAAUGCUUUCGAAAUUAUUAAAUACUUUCCAAAUUUUAAGUGGCUUACUUUGUACCUUUACAUUUUUCUAACACAAUGGACCAAAUUUAACCAUCAUGUAUGUGCUGCCAUAACUGACAUUGCCUUUUCUUGCACCAAAGGCUGAGUUUGGACCAGUUCUCUCCAUACAAGUUUCACUUAAUGAGAAAGACAUGACCCAGAUUUCAGACGGAACAAAUAAGCGGAAAAUUCCUAGCCUUGUUGCCAUAGUUACUUGAAACCUGCUGUUAAAGAAGGCAGGAAGAAAGGGAAAAGGAUGAAAAGUAGGAAAAGAAGAGAGCAGCAUCAUGGUCAGGCUUAGGCUAUGUGAUACAGAGAGCUGAUGAUCUGGAAGGAGCAGGACCUCAGUGAUGACACCCAGAGCAGGUUAUUGAGAAAACCAGUAUUUCUGCCUUCUGGUUGCUAUUCAGUUGAUUCCAUGGACAUUGGUUAUUUUUAAGCAGUUACCACAGUGACAAUGCACCGGUAGGUGUUAGAUCUGCAAAGGCAAGAAGGGGUUGGGUGGGGAGAGACAGACUUCUCCACAAUUAAUUUAAUAAAGAAAUUGCCUAACUUUAAAGACUGAUUGCUGUUCUACUUUAUGAGAUUGUAACACUUGCAGCAAUGUCUUGCUCAAUCAGAAUAAACUUUUCAGCCUUUGUGCAAGUUGGCAGCAGACAUACUCCAGCUCUAAAGAAGCAGAACUGCAGUCAUAUUGCAUCAGGCAGGGAGCACUGUUCUUCCCCAAAUUCAGAUAGGACCAAUGCACCCUGUGAGACACAAGCUGAAAACCUAGGAGAGCUGUUAACUGUGCUUGUGAAUAUUUCUGUAUUACUGUUUUAUAUUCAACUGCUAACUUUAAUGUCUGUCAUAUGAGCAUGAAGAAACAGACUGUAUUCAUUAAGGGCUUUGGACUAAGUGACAUGAACAUAGCACUCUAAUAGGUUUUUUUAGUACUUGUCCCUAUCUCCUCUUUUUAUUCCUGCUCUUUUUGACUGCCUUCACAUUCUUAGAACUGGCAUGGAAAGAAAUAACCAGUGUCUGCACCUGUAGCAGUGUAAAACAGAUUCAAAUACCCUGGAAACACACACAGUUCAAGAAAUGCAUUUGGUAGUUUGAUGCUCUACGUAUUAGUUGGACCAUAAUACAGUUUGCAGCAGCAUUCAUGCAAGAACCCAGGGAAAACACUGGAGUAGUUACAAGACUGGUCUGUCCUAGUCUAGGACUGUAUUUUCAAAGCACUUUAUUUCCAUGUCAAAACCUAUCCUGGUCCCAUGGAGAAAACUCUCCCUUUUUUUACUGCCUUUUCUGUCUCUAAACUUACUGAGACUUCCCUCCCACACCCAAUUCUCUGCUGUGCUGUCCUUGCUCAGAUGACACCAUUGUGCUUGGUAUAGGUAACAAAAGCUAACCCUCAAUGCUGCGGAGAACUACAUUUUACUAUGAGUGUGUUUUCUCUGAGAGCUGGCAGGUUGUAUUGGUAGCACUGUGGCCGAGAGAUUUUUUUGCUGGUCUUAUAGCAGGGAAUAUUCACUUUAUAGAGAACUCUUAGAAGUAUAAAACCUCCAAAACAAAAACAAAAAAAUAACAAAAAAACCCCCCCAAAAUAACAAAAAAAUAACAAACCCCAAACCAAAACAUACUCCAAAAGCUCCCAAAACAACUCCCCAAAAAACCACCACCCAUAUAUAGCAGCGUUGGCUAAAAUGAUUAUAAAGCAUGAGACAGUUAUGUGAGGUUGAACAAAAUUCAUUAUCUGUAGGUGUUAUUGCACUCAUUAAAAAUCCUUGCAAGUAAUUUCUUCUCUUCCAACCACACAAUUAUGGUUAUUGCUUUCUGUCAUGUAAUUACCAUGCUACCAAAUGAUUUCCACAUUCGAGUCAUAAAUCAUCGAACUUCCAGAUCAAGGACACUCAAUCUUGCAAUAGCAGAGGAGAUUGUGAGCUAUUUUGAUGCCAUAGUCAGUUACCAUCUUAGGGCUUCCCUUUAAAACUUGACUCAAGACACCUCCAGCUCAAACUGGGGAGAAAGGGGAAAACACAGACUGAGACUUUAGCUGGCACUCUCUCCUACUUGAAUUCCUAAGGGUGUUGCAUUCCUUACCACCUGUGUAGCAGGACUUGUGCAAAAAGGUGAGAAAUUCUUUUCUGUCUAAAGAUGUGAAAGAAGACAGCAGCUGUUGCUAUGGCAGUAACCACUGCAGCAGGAGAGGAAAGGCCACGUGGUUCCCAGUCUUACUGUGGUGGAGCAGAGGCAAAACACACAGGGAGAGCAGCACAGGUUUCUAGUGACAGGAUAUAACCUACAGAUGAAAGUUGUUAUUAAACCAAACUGUGAAGUUAAAACCAAGUAGGUAUUUCAGAAUAAUGGCAAAUACAGACAAGCCCUGUAAUCUUAUAAAUCAAAUGCAAAUACUGAGCUCUUACUUAUAAUUUAUCAGUGAAACUCACAUAGCCCCAUUCUUUCAUCCAGUGCUACCUGAGGGGAAUAAAGAAAGAACAAAAGAAAGCCAUUAGCACCAUUAAGGUAUUCAAACUCAAGAAUACACCAUCUCCAGUCCUCUUUAAGCUCUUGUUCCCCUUUUUGGAUUAUCCCAAGCAGCCCCAUUCUAAGACGGCCAUACGCCAGUGUGUUUCAGUGUUUUGUGCCAGAGUAGGGUGCAGACUAAUCAUACAAUUAUUUAUUGCAAUAAUUCCUUUUAAUAAUAUUCCAAUAAUCCCCCAGCUUCCAGCACCUUUAAACCAAGAAGUAGUAUGUAAAUGGCUUGAUAAAUAAUGCUUUGAUUAACACAGGCCACAAGCCAGUUGGUGGCACUCUGCUCAUAUAAACUAUUUUUGUCACUAGGCAAACUGACAGGCAAUGAAAAUCCAGCCCAGACUGGAUUUCCCUUCCUAAAGAGGGUUUGGUCCCUUGAAGUCCCACGAAAAAUGCUUUGCUGCCACCCCUUCCCCCUUUUUAAGUCUCUGUGGGCUGCAGGAAGCAUCCCUGGCAUAACAUUCAAUCAAAGCAAGGUAAAGCCCACUUUCCACCUGCAAUUGACUCUUGCUCUAGCCCAGUAUGAAAGAUUUUGAGCCUUGUCAUAGUGAAUGGAUAAGGGGAAGAAAGAGAGAGGCAGAAGGAAAUAAAGUAUGGUACAGCUAGCAGGAAAAUUAGAGAAGGAACUCUUGCAAAUGGUAUUCUCUGGGUAGAGAAGCAAAGACUAUCAGGAGCUAAGAAACAGUGAUAAAGCAGGUGAGAGCAGAGUAGAGCCUGUACUGCAAGCUUCAUAACACAUUUCACACCUGGGAAGUUCAUCUAGGUUAUUUUUCUCUCCAGAAGUAACAUAACAAACUAUGAGGUGCCAAGAUAAUCAGUGUCCUUAUCGGCUUGUGUCUCACUAUUCAUUUGUACAGAAGUCUAACAGUGCUUCUAUUCCAGGAGAUGGGAGGGCUACUUUUGUGACAAGACAGCAGCACUGACAGGGCAGCUUUAUGCAGUAACUUCUCUAAAGCAGCAGCAGUCAGUACCAGCUUUAGCCACCCAGCAGACAUGCCCUAUUAGCCUCUUCCUUGUAUGUCCAUCAGGAACUGUUGCCAUCACAACGGAAGACGGUAAAUUAAGACUUGCUCUUAUUGCUAGAAGACAAUAUGUAAUCUUGACUGAGUUGCAUAAUGAGAGCUCUGAAUUCAACCCUGCCUAUCACACCAGGAUUAUUCAGUCUAAGUACCCGUACACUCUUUUAGUUUUAGGUAUUAGAAUCCAGAGGACACUUACCUAAAUUCAGUACACACCAUUUCCUUUUUCAGCCUGCUUUUGCUUGAUGCUGUUACAGUAAUAAAGUGACACUCCAUAAUAAAAUUUCACUUUUGGGUCUGUUAUCCCAGUAUGAAAAACAAAAUUUUUCCAAGUGUUCGAGAGUUUUAUUGCCAUUUGGAACAUGUUUAUUGUUCAAAAACACUGCACUGAAAAAAAGUCUGUAACAUACGUUCUCACAUUCUUUGUCAAUUUUAUCUUUAUAGCAAUGUAACUUUCAGGCAGAUCAUGCAGGAAAACCACUCUCACAAUGAAGUCAAAAACUACUGAAAGGCACUUUGUGUCUUUCAGAUCAUAGACUCCAAACAAGUUUAGUUUUUUGCCUGUGUAAGAAUCACAUACAUCUAGAAUAACUCAAACAGUAGGAAAAAAUAAAAU